AGUAGCUCAGUUGGCAGAGCACCAGACCCAGGAUCUGGAGGUCGCGGGUUCGACUCCCGUCUAACACCA
rnacentral:tRNA from 1 species